GACAGAGGGUGCAAACGUUGUUCGGAAUUACUGGGCGUAAAGCGCGUGUAGGCUGCUCGGAAAGUCGGAUGUGAAAGCCCUGGGCUCAACCUAGGAAGUGCAUUCGAAACUUCCGAGCUGGAGUGCUGGAGAGGAAGGCGGAAUUCUCGGUGUAGAGGUGAAAUUCGUAGAUAUCGAGAGGAACACCGGUGGCGAAGGCGGCCUUCUGGACAGCCACUGACGCUGAGACGCGAAAGCUAGGGGAGCAAACGGG
rnacentral:rRNA from 1 species